GCCCGCCUAGCUCAAUCGGAUAGAGCGUCAGACUCUUAUAUCAACGGGUUCUAAGGUGGCAAUCUGAAGGCUGCGAGUUCGACCCUCGCGGUGGGCU